GAUGAACGCUGGCGGCGUGCCUAAUACAUGCAAGUCGAGCGAACGGACGAGAAGCUUGCUUCUCUGAUGUUAGCGGCGGACGGGUGAGUAACACGUGGAUAACCUACCUAUAAGACUGGGAUAACUUCGGGAAACCGUAGCUAAUACCGGAUAAUAUUUUGAACCGCAUGGUUCAAAAGUGAAAGACGGUCUUGCUGUCACUUAUAGAUGGAUCCGCGCUGCAUUAGCUAGUUGGUAAGGUAACGGCUUACCAAGGCAACGAUGCAUAGCCGACCUGAGAGGGUGAUCGGCCACACUGGAACUGAGACACGGUCCAGACUCCUACGGGAGGCAGCAGUAGGGAGUCUUCCGCAAUGGGCGAAAGCCUGACGGAGCAACGCCGCGUGAGUGAUGAAGGUCUUCGGAUCGUAAAACUCUGUUAUUAGGGAAGAACAUAUGUGUAAGUAACUGUGCACAUCUUGACGGUACCUAAUCAGAAAGCCACGGCUAACUACGUG
rnacentral:rRNA from 1 species